rnacentral:rRNA from 1 species
CCUACGGGUGGCUGCAGUGGGGAAUAUUGGACAAUGGGCGAAAGCCUGAUCCAGCCAUGCCGCGUGUGUGAAGAAGGCCUUCGGGUUGUAAAGCACUUUCAGUGGGGAAGAAAGCCUUGGGGCUAAUACCCUCGAGGAAGGACAUCACCCACAGAAGAAGCACCGGCUAACUCCGUGCCAGCAGCCGCGGUAAUACGGAGGGUGCGAGCGUUAAUCGGAAUUACUGGGCGUAAAGCGCGCGUAGGCGGUCUGAUAAGCCGGUUGUGAAAGCCCCGGGCUCAACCUGGGAACGGCAUCCGGAACUGUCAGGCUAGAGUGCAGGAGAAGAAGGUAGAAUUCCCGGUGUAGCGGUGAAAUGCUUAGAGAUCGGGAGGAAUACCAGUGGCGAAGGCGGCCUUCUGGACUGACACUGACGCUGAGGUGCGAAAGCGUGGGUAGCAAACAGGAUUAGAUACCCGUGUAGUC